rnacentral:rRNA from 1 species
UUUACAUGCAAGUCGAACGGUAACAGGAAGAAGCUUGCUUCUUUGCUGACGAGUGGCGGACGGGUGAGUAAUGUCUGGGAAACUGCCUGAUGGAGGGGGAUAACUACUGGAAACGGUAGCUAAUACCGCAUAACGUCGCAAGACCAAAGAGGGGGACCUUCGGGCCUCUUGCCAUCGGAUGUGCCCAGAUGGGAUUAGCUAGUAGGUGGGGUAACGGCUCACCUAGGCGACGAUCCCUAGCUGGUCUGAGAGGAUGACCAGCCACACUGGAACUGAGACACGGUCCAGACUCCUACGGGAGGCAGCAGUGGGGAAUAUUGCACAAUGGGCGCAAGCCUGAUGCAGCCAUGCCGCGUGUAUGAAGAAGGCCUUCGGGUUGUAAAGUACUUUCAGCGGGGAGGAAGGGAGUAAAGUUAAUACCUUUGCUCAUUGACGUUACCCGCAGAAGAAGCACCGGCUAACUCCGUGCCAGCAGCCGCGGUAAUACGGAGGGUGCAAGCGUUAAUCGGAAUUACUGGGCGUAAAGCGCACGCAGGCGGUUUGUUAAGUCAGAUGUGAAAUCCCCGGGCUCAACCUGGGAACUGCAUCUGAUACUGGCAAGCUUGAGUCUCGUAGAGGGGGGUAGAAUUCCAGGUGUAGCGGUGAAAUGCGUAGAGAUCUGGAGAAUACCGUGCCAAGGCCCCCU